AUACGGCGGAUCCGAGCGUUAUCCGGAUUUAUUGGGUUUAAAGGGUGCGCAGGCGGCCAUUUAAGUCAGCGGUUAAAUCGUGGGGCUCAACCCCAUUCUGCCGUUGAUACUGGGUGGCUUGAUUGCGGUCGAGGUUGGCGGAAUUCGUUGUGUAGCGGUGAAAUGCAUAGAUAUGACGAAGAACACCGAUUGCGUAGGCAGCUGACCAGACCGCAAAUGACGCUCAUGCACGAAAGUGCGGGGAUCGAACAGGAUUAGAUACCCUGGUAGUCCGCACAGUAAACGAUGAAUACUUGUUUUCGGCGAUAUAAUGUCGGAGGCAAAGCGAAAGCGAUAAGUAUUCCACCUGGGGAGUACGCCGGCAACGGUGAAACUCAAAGGAAUUGACGGGG
rnacentral:rRNA from 1 species